rnacentral:snRNA from 1 species
GAUUGGCGGGAUCCCUCG